rnacentral:rRNA from 1 species
UACGUAGGGUGCAGGCGUUAAUCGGAAUUACUGGGCGUAAAGCGUGCGCAGGCGGUUUGCUAAGACAGGUGUGAAAUCCCCGGGCUUAACCUGGGAACUGCGCUUGUAACUGGCAAGCUCGAGUGUGGCAGAGGGGGGUGGAAUUCCACGUGUAGCAGUGAAAUGCGUAGAGAUGUGGAGGAAUACCGAUGGCGAAGGCAGCCCCCUGGGAUAACACUGACGCUCAUGCACGAAAGCGUGGGGAGCAAACAGG